rnacentral:rRNA from 1 species
AUGGCGGCGAUCCACCAGCAGCAGCAGCACAUGCCCCUUCUUCUCCUCACCUUCCUCCUCGCGGCGUCCACGGCGGCGGCCCGGCCUUCGUACGUCAUCAAGUCGACGUGCGUAGCGAUCACCAACGCCACCGUGGGCACCCCCUACCGCUACUGCGUGCGCACGCUCGCCGCCGACCCGGCGGCCGCGCCCGCCAGGGACGCCCGCGGGCUCGCCAUUGCCGCCGCCAAGCUCACCGCCACCAACGUCUCGUCGACGCUGCACGUGCUCAACCUGCUCGUGGACGCCCUCCAAAACUGCAUCGUCACGUACCAAUUCAUGCAAGGGGACGUCGCCGGCGCGCUCGACGACCUCAGCGCCGGCCGCCUCGACGUGGCGUCGCCCAAGCUCAAGCGCGCCUCGUUCCAGCCGGAUUUCUGCGAACUGGCCAUGAUGGAGAGUGACACCGACAAGGAUCCCGUGUCGGAGGAGAACGAUGCUAACCAGUUGCUCUCCGGCAUGGCGUACAACAUCGCGGAACUCAUCGCCAACAGGCGACCGCCGCCGCCAAGAUGA